GCCUUUGUGGUGUAAAGGUAGAACACUCAAUGCAUAUUCAAAAGGCCCAGGUUAGAGUCCCGGCAAGGGCA
rnacentral:tRNA from 1 species